rnacentral:tRNA from 1 species
GUUGUGGCUCAGCGGCAGAGCGCUCAUCUAGUAUGUGUGAGGCCCUGGGUUCGAUCCUCAGCUCACA